rnacentral:lncRNA from 1 species
AUUGCCCUCCUGCUGCUGCUGAGGUGGACAAUAUGCAAGCUGAGCUACUCGUCGAGCUAAAGGAGUGGCUUCAUGAGAAAUGAAAUGAAAGAUGAUAUUAGGUGAAAUCCUGCAAAACAUAAUAUAGUUUAAAACAUAAUAUUAGGUUAAAUCUUGUAGCUCAUAGUCACACCAAGUUUUGCCUUUUUUGGUCUUCCUCGGC